AGGAAGAGCACCAGGAGACAGUGCAGUACUUCAGGAUUGUUGUGAAGUUUCAGGGAACGAGACAGCUGUCAGGAUCCUGAGCUCCAUCACUCCAUGGUCUUAGUGGUGAGGGCUGCUCCUGAACUUCACAUUCCCAAGAAAUUCUUCUGUUUUUGUAAUAAUCAGGUCUCGCAGAGCAUCUUCCCUCUUCAUCUCCUCAGUCAACUGUAUCAGGAGGUUGUCAUCAAUGCACUCCAGAAACGUCAUAGGUUGCUUCUGUCCUGCUGCAUUGCUCCUCCAACAGAUAUCAAGGUUGUUAAUGGCUUCUGUGAGGACCUGGAACUAGUGAAUAUGGGAUUUCUUCUGGUUACCUGGAGGAAGCCUGAUCUGCUUCUUCUACCUCAUCAGGCAGACUACAUCAGACACUCACAUCAACGUCACCUGCACUGGUCUGCAGCCAGCCUAAACCUCUGAGCUCUCAGCUGUCUUGUGGCAGAUCUUCAUGCACCCCUACUUCUCUCUCAAAUGCAGGGCAACAGACCCUUCUCACCAUCCCGUCUUGUCCUUCUCAAAGAGCUUAUAUCCAGCAUUGCAGUGCUUCAGUUGUGUGAGUGGGAUUUGCCCAUUAAUCAGGUUUCCAAAACUGCACGGUCUAUCUACUGAAGCAUUCAAAGGAAUCACUUGGAACAAGGGUCAUCCCAAAACAAGAGCAAUUCAAGCAUCCUGUCUGAGAAGAAUAUGAGAAAGGAAAGAGGAAGGCUUAUUUCACCUUCAGCACUGCCAAUCGUUUUUACAUUAUCCUAGAUUAUGCAACAUACCGUAGCAAGGACUGUGAACCGCAAGUACACCAGGAAAGAACAGCCUUCAUUGUCACUGUCUGCUGCUCAAUGUGUGUUCUCAGAUGCCUGAGGUGGAAAGGUCACAGUAUCUCCAUCAAGUCUCAGUCCACACCCAUCCUUGAUUAUUCUGGGUUAGGAGAAAGAGAGGGUAAAUGCAAAGUCUGUUUAUCCCGCUGUCAUAGAAACAAGAAUGCGGUAAAAUCAAAUUAAGUAGCUCCCUUCUUAAGAAUUACAUUGUUAC